GCCGCUGUGGUGGAAUCGGCAGACACAAGGGACUUAAAAUCCCUCGAUGGCAACAUCGUACGAGUUCAAGUCUCGUCAGCGGCACCA
rnacentral:tRNA from 1 species